ACCGACGUGCGUCUGUGGAGGAGCG
rnacentral:piRNA from 1 species